AUCUUCGGUUGAAACAAGUUCAUUAGAUCGUUAUCUUUCGAAUAAAAACUUGUAUCCGUAAACAAUACCGCGCUUCGCAGGUCUCAGGUGCGUCGAUUCGAUCGUCAGCCGAAGAAUACAAUCGUUCAUAGAAAUACAUUUCAAAGACUAUGAGACACUUUUAAUGCCUCUCUAACAUGAAAUCAACAUAACAGGCGAAACUUUUGGGUUAAUAAAUUCAUAACGUUUCUGAAGCUAUUUCGAAGAAGUGUAUAAUUUUUGCCUAACGUCAUUUUUAAGGCGAUAAUAAUUUACAAGAUAAUAAUUUUGUUAUGCAUGCAGUUUGCAUGCGCAGUGUUAUAGUUGCACAAGGUUUAUCAAUCAUGACAAAGCGUACAGACAUGCUAAAUGUCACAUCUUACUAUUUUAGAGCUCACGAAUGCGCUUCGAACACCACGUGACCGCCGCGUGCGUCUAAUUGUAAGUUAGGUGUCACUCGGAUGAAGGUGCAAGAAUUCCGUGUCAGAAGUUUGUUUUAAUUUCACCUACACAUUAAAUUAUGAAGAGAUGAAUAACGAUUAUAUAUAUGUGCAAUGCAGUGCAUUUUCCUCCAGAAAUAAAUAGCUUAACGCACGACUAAUUACCGAUCUGGACACGUUAUUGGAGUAUGAUUUAUCUAUCGACGCGAUGGGAAUAGAAACAAGGCGAGCUAAAUUGGAAGCGAACGAAUGGUACGCGUGAAGAAUCAAAUAAACUUGACGUCUGGCGGAACAAAAUGAUACGAGCCCUUUUAAAAUCGAUCUUGGAUGGUUUCCGGCGAAGAAUCUACCGAUUCGUGUGUACAACGAGGCCGGUGUGCGGUUACAUCUGAUGCAGGCUGGCACCGACGAGAGGUCAGCCACACCGCUGGUUAUUUUCAGCCCUCUCGCGUCGUGAUUUAGCCCUCUCACCGGCACGAGUGACUUCUUACUGACACCCGUGUCUUCUCCCAACACGCGCCAAGUACGCUAGAAAUUGUUUGACGGGAGUCGUUCCACCGCCGCUGACGCAGGAGCCGGACGAUGUACCCGUUAUUCGCUGCGUGAUGUAUGAACGCCACACGCGCCCGUUGUCAUACGCGUGUCUCGCGUAAAGAUAAUGCGUAGGUGUUACGCUAUGCCUCGAGUAGAAGGUUCUCGGCCAGCCUAUCUUGCAGUAUAAAUAGGCGGGCGUCACAUUUUGCAUAUUAUGUGUUCUAGUAAUUGUGUAGAAACAAUUCGCUGAUAAUUCUCGCCUGAUAUCGUAUGAAAAUUCCUGUGCUAGCUACCUUAGAACAAUGAAUGAAUUAAUUAAAGAAUAUUUUAAUAUUUAUGAUUUGACUCCCAUUUGAAGAUAUUUAUAAAACAUGUACAAUAAUAAACACGACCUCUUAUUUCACGGCAAAUGUCUGUGAAUUUAUACAUUCUUAUAAUUAUCUGUUAUCAAUCGUGCCGAUUAAAUAUCUGCAUGCUGCAAGUGUGAUGUAAGGAGUUGAUUUUUAACAAUCGUAUAACACUUAUCCAACGUAAUUUAUACGAUUUAAAUAUAUUUUUUAUCUCGA